UUAUCAAGUAUGUCAUCUAUGUUGGGUA
rnacentral:sRNA from 1 species